rnacentral:piRNA from 2 species
UACGAUGAACAUCGGCAUGAUGGCAGA